CUUGUGCCAUCACCAAUCAUGCGUCAUGGCUGCUUGAGUUUCUUUUUCCUAACGCGCCAGAGUCGCCACUGAUCUUUGCUUUUGUUUGGUUUCAUCCGUUGAGAAACUUUAAUUCGUUUAACGCCACUCGUGACGUCACGGCCCCGCCUCCUCCCUCCUCCCCUGCCGGAGGUGGGGAGUCUCUUGAGCCGCGAUUCCACAAACAUCUACUCGGCGCGGUACGGUUCGCCACUAUUGUAUCUGACUCGGCUCGUCUCGGUUUAGUUGUUUUUCCAUAUAGCCUCAUCGUGGGUGGAGUCGUCAUAGCGCAGCGAGCCGAAAGUCCCUUAACGUCAUUUGUGUGCGACACCAACGCAACAUAACGGAGACGAUGGUACACCUGCUGCUCGGUCUGUGGCUUUCUGUCAGAUUCAAAGUAAAAGAAGAGUCAUAGAAAGCUGAGAGCAGCGAGUCGGAACACUCAGGAGACACACAGGAGAGUUUAGGAGGCAAUACAGCAGUAUCAAGCUGAAGACAAGAGGAUAUGAACUGGACGACAUAUGAGGAUGCUCUCUGAUGAGACUUCAUGGGAUUUACCUGAAGCAGCAGCACAUGAGCCUGCAGUGGCACAAGGUGUAGAGGAGGAGGACAGAGAUGUACAGGAUGCACUGAUGCACUACGUGUCAUGUAAAAGUUAAAAGUUAUUCUUCUUGUUAUACUUCUGUUUUUCUGUCCCCGGACCACUAUUGUUUUCUUGAAUGCAAUUCUGACAAUAAACUUUUGUACCUUUUGCAGAUGUGUCUAUGUGAUAGUAUGUGUUUUUCUGGGAUACGUGCUUUCUAUAUAUUUUCUUUAGCUCAAGAAUGUUAAACAGAAUGAAACCAUAUGUUGAAACGUUUACUUUAGCCAUCAUUCAUCACAGGUUGACCUGUGGGUUAACCUAAAGGGACUAGGGACCUCCUGGCUCCCUCUUUCUCUCUUUCUUCUUCUCACGCAAUGUAUUCUAACCUAUGCCAGAUGUUGAAACCUAUAAAGAUCUAGUCAUUGUAACUCUCUUCAUUCAUCCACCGCAUGAUGCUUGAAUCACGAGCUCGUCCGUAUUAAAUGUACUCUUAAUUUGA